AAAAGAUGCCUGGCCUUCUCCCUCUAUAUAAUUCCUCUAGCUUUUGUCUCUAUCAUCAUCAACACAUUAGUUUAGCUUCAGAAAGGAGCUCCUCCAACAAUGACGUUUUCACUCCUACCCAUCAUUGCUUUUUACAUAGUUGUGCUGGAUGCUGCACAUGAAACCUUAUUACUUCUGAACUUUAUUGGAAGUCCAUGCUUCCCACUACUCCCAUGCCUAAAUCCAUCAGAGAUCUCCUCCAUCCAACUGUAUGCUUCUUUUCAGCCAUGAAUGAAAACCUGACCUGACCCACCAAUUAAACUGGCAAAU